rnacentral:tRNA from 1 species
UCCUGGUGGCUCAGAUGGUAAAGAGUCUGCCUGCAAUGCAGGAGACCCAGGUUUGAUCCCUGGGUUGGGAA